rfam:TPA: Bos taurus chromosome 16, whole genome shotgun sequence.
UGGCUCAGAGUUUAAAGCAUCUGCCUCCAAUGCAGGAGACCAGGGUUUGAUCCCUG